CAUGCGUCGCAUUAGGUAGACGGCGGGGUAACGGCCCACCGUGCCGACGAUGCGUAGGGGUUCUGAGAGGAAGGCCCCCCACACUGGUACUGAGACACGGACCAGACUCCUACGGGAGGCAGCAGUGAGGAAUAUUGGUCAAUGGCCGAGAGGCUGAACCAGCCAAGUCGCGUGAGGGAAGAAUGUCCUAAGGAUUGUAAACCUCUUUUGUCGGGGAGCAAAAAGGCUCUGCGGAGUCGUAUUGAGAGUACCCGAAGAAAAAGCAUCGGCUAACUCCGUGCCAGCAGCCGCGGUAAUACGGAGGAUGCGAGCGUUAUCCGGAUUUAUUGGGUUUAAAGGGUGCGCAGGCGGCGUGUCAAGCAAGCGGUAAAAUAGCGGGGCUCAACCCCGUCGAGCCGUUUGAACUGGCGCGCUUGAGUUCAGGCGAGGUAGGCGGAAUUCGUGGUGUAGCGGUGAAAUGCAUAGAUAUCACGAAGAACUCCGAUUGCGAAGGCAGCUUACCAGUCUGCGACUGACGCUCAGGCACGAAAGUGUGGGUAUCGAACAGGAUUAGAUACCCUGGUAGUCCACACAGUAAACGAUGAGCGCUAGGUGUCCGGGUCGCAUGAGACUUGG
rnacentral:rRNA from 1 species